rnacentral:rRNA from 1 species
CCUACGGGAGACAGCAGUGAGGAAUAUUGGUCAAUGGACGCAAGUCUGAACCAGCCAUGCCGCGUGCAGGAAGACGGCUCUAUGAGUUGUAAACUGCUUUUGUACGAGGGUAAACGCAGAUACGUGUAUCUGUCUGAAAGUAUCGUACGAAUAAGGAUCGGCUAACUCCGUGCCAGCAGCCGCGGUAAUACGGAGGAUUCAAGCGUUAUCCGGAUUUAUUGGGUUUAAAGGGUGCGUAGGCGGUCGGAUAAGUUAGAGGUGAAAUCCCGAGGCUCAACUUCGGAAUUGCCUCUGAUACUGGUCGGCUAGAGAGUAGUUGCGGUAGGCGGAAUGUAUGGUGUAGCGGUGAAAUGCUUAGAGAUCAUACAGAACACCGAUUGCGAAGGCAGCUUACCAAGCUACUUCUGACGUUGAGGCACGAAAGCGUGGGGAGCGAACAGGAUUAGAUACCCGGGUAGUC